CCUCUCUCUCUCACUCUCAGCGGUCCUCUCUCUCUCACUCGUCAAAUCGAAGCUUCUCACUUGAACCCUAGCUCCAAAUCGAAGCUAUAAGGGAUACAAAUUGAAACUUCUCUCGGCUUUCACUAUUGUCCUCCUUUCUCCGGCCUCUGAACUCACGAAUCGAAGCUUGUCUUUCUCUUUCACUAUUGUCAAACCUUCAUCGAUUCAGGUACUCUUCUUUCUUUUUUAUUCCUUUUUAAAUAUUUUCCUUUUUUGUAUAUUCAUUAAUUCUGGAAUACUUGUAGAACUAUUUCUAGUAAUGGAUUCCAGUUAUUACGUGAUUUCUUUGUGUUUGUGGUUUGUUACUUGGUUUUAGCUCUUAGAACUGUUUCUACUGCAAUUGAUCUAGGUUUUUUUCCUCUGCUUGUAUUAUUUUUUGUUACUGUUAUUUUCACAUUUUUUAAAUUUCAUUUAAAGUUUCAAUGAUUUUUUGUCUGGUAUAUAUGGUGGAAAUCUGUUGUUGUUUAUAAUUUGUCUGGUAUAGUUUUUAUUUCAUUUGAAGUUUCAGUGAUUUUUUUGUCUGGUAUAUAGUGGUAAAGUUUAAGUGAUUAAUUUGAAAUCUGAUUCAUUUAAAGUUUCAGUGAUUUUGUUUUGUCUCCUAUAUAGUGGUAAAGUUAACACAUUAUAAGAUUAGGAUAUAUUCCCAUCGGGUACGAAACCAAUACUUUAUUUGGUGUUACAAUGUUUUAACUUAAUUUCACAACAUAGGUAUGGAUCGUAGUUGGAUGAAAGCUAAUCGAUUAAGUGCUGAGUUUGAACAGGGAGUGAUUGAAUUUCUUCGAUUUGCUGAAAUCAAUCUUCCAUCUCCCGAAAGUAAUGCUAAAAAAAACUUUCGACUCCCGAAAGUAAUGAUGAAAAAAAUCUUCCUC
rnacentral:lncRNA from 1 species